GUGACAUUCUGGAUGUACUGGACAAACACC
rnacentral:piRNA from 2 species